rnacentral:lncRNA from 1 species
UCUGCAACUCUCUAUAUCAUACAUCUCUUCUUCUGCAUCCUGUAUGGAGGAUGGCCUUCGUCUAUGGCUUGGUGGGUUGUUAAUGGCACGGGGCUUGCUGUCAUGGCACUGCUAGCUGAGUACCUCUGCAUUAAACGCGAACAGCGUGAGAUUCCUAUGGAUCGUUUCCAUUCAAGUAUGUUCAUCACUCUUUCAUUUUAAAUCGACAGCAUGUUUGUUUACGUAUAGUCCAAAUGACUCUCUAUUUGUGGUUGUUAAUGGCACGGGGCUUGCUGUCAUGGCACUGCUAGCUGAGUACCUCUGCAUUAAACGCGAACAGCGUGAGAUUCCUAUGGAUCGUUUCCAUUCAAGUAUGUUCAUCACUCUUUCAUUUUAAAUCGACAGCAUGUUUGUUUACGUAUAGUCCAAAUGACUCUCUAUUUGUGGUUGGC